GGAAUAUUGGGCAAUGGGCGAAAGCCUGACCCAGCGACGCCGCGUGAGGGAUGAAGGCCUUCGGGUUGUAAACCUCUUUCAGUAGGGAAGAAGCGAAAGUGACGGUACCUAAAGAAGAAGCACCGGCUAACUAUGUGCCAGCAGCCGCGGUAAUACAUAGGGUGCAAGCGUUGUCCGGAAUUAUUGGGCGUAAAGAGCUCGUAGAUCGUUUGACACGUCGAUUGUGAAAAUCUGAGGCUCAACCUCAGACCUGCAGUCGAUACGGUCAAACUAGAGUGUGGUAGGGGAGACUGGAAUUCCUGGUGUAGCGGUGGAAUGCGCAGAUAUCAGGAGGAACACCAAUGGCGAAGGCAGGUCUCUGGGCCAUAACUGACACUGAGGAGCGAAAGCGCGGGGAGCGAACAGGAUUAGAUACCCUGGUAGUCCGCGCCGUAAACGGUGGGCACUAGCUGUGGGUCCCUUCCACGGGAUCCGCGACGCAGCAAACGCAUUAAGUGCCCCGCCUGGGGAGUACGAUCGCAAGAUUAAAACUCAAAGGAAUUGACGG
rnacentral:rRNA from 1 species